GAGCCAUUAGCUCAGUCGGUAGAGCAUCUGACUUUUAAUCAGAGGGUCGAAGGUUCGAGUCCUUCAUGGCUCACUA
rnacentral:tRNA from 1 species